rnacentral:lncRNA from 1 species
GUUGUCUCUAUGGGUAAAUCAUUGCUGUCCUUCAAGUGUGAGAAUGGAAUUCUAGAAAAUGCCACCUGCCCGCUCUGAUCCCGAUGAAGCAUCACAGCACAGAGAUGUCAUUGACAAACUGGUUGAGAAGAGUUACCAACGCAUCAGGUAUUUUAGAAGAGGAAAUCAGGACACAGAAAUGCACAGAGGGAAGGCUGUGUGAAGAGGAGACGGCCAUCUACAGACCAAGGAGGGGGCCUCAGAAGAAACCAACUCUGCCAGCACCUUGAUCAUAGGCCUCCAGCCUCCAGCACUAAAAUGAUAUUGAUGAGAAAAGACAAUCAAAGAGUCUGGCCAAAAGGGAAAAUGACAAUCAAGUUUUUUCCUACAGGAGCUAAAACAUUCAGGCCAUUUCAAAUUUUGUUGUGAAGUAAGUAACUAGUUUUUUUUUUUGAUCUUUUUUUUUUUUUUUUUGAGAUGGAGUCUUGCUCUGUCGCCCAGGCUCGAGUGCAGUGGUGUAAUCUCGGCUCACUGCAACUUCCACCUCUUGGGUUCAAGAGAUUCGCUCUUGCCUCAGCCUCCCAAGUAGCUGGGAUUACAGGCACGUGCCUCCAUAACCAGCUAAUUUUUCUGUUUCUAGUAGAGAUGGGGUUUCACCAUGUUGUCUAGGCUGGUCUUGAACUCCUGACCUCAGGUGAUCCGCCUACCUUGGCCUCCCAAUGUGCUGAGAUUAUAGGUGUGAGUAGCUAGUCUUAAAUACUCACUAAAUUGAUGACACUUCAAGCAGGCCAGACAAUUAGUUAAUUAAUAAAAAUAUUGUGUUGUUUUUAUGGGAUUUUGUGGGUUUUGCCAUAACAAAGUAAUUGGUUGUUAUUUAGCUUUUCUAGAUAAAUGUUUACUUUCAUGCCUA